rnacentral:misc_RNA from 1 species
GAGUGUUGAAAAUGGAAAUAUGGGCGGUUUGUGAUCCUAGAUAUGGUAGUUUGAUAGGAUUCCAGCAACUUUUUAUCACCAGAAUUCUAGUAGAUUGGCAAAUUUUGUGUCUACUGGUGUUGUCUUUUGCUAAUGGAAGCGCUAGCCGGAUGUGGAAAUAAAGAAGGUAAGGCUUUUUAGAGCCUUGCGCUUGGAACAAGUUGAGUUGCUGUUAAACAUCGCAUGCCUUUAUCCUAUAGAGGCAGUAGGUUUGGAGCUUUGUGAGCUUUGAGCCUAAGGUAUGCCUUUAACAACACGGGUUCCAUGGCAGUGUAUAUUUGCAAAGUUUCUCCUAUUGAAGACAGAACAAAUUAACCAUAAAGCAAUUUGUGUACAAAGACUUGGUCAAGUUGGGGCAAGAAGACUUGGUAUAUCCAAGUCCAAAAUAAUUUUGGGGGACUAAUAUUUCACCUUAACAAAAUUCAAUCCAGUAUAAACCUUAUUAACAUUAACAAUAUUGGUUAGGGAUGAAAAUUGUCACCCAAUCUAAGGUAAUGCAACCCAAGCCGCCCCAUGUUCUAGGUCAUAAUACAAACCCAAUCCUGUUUCUAGCUCAAACCUUGCGGGGGCCUACUAAUCCAUGCAUUCUAUAACCUAUUUUGGAAUCUGUCAAUAGGACUUGGGCUUAGGGGAUCAAUAGGCCGACUGUUAACGCCUAAUGCUGUUUAUGUUAGUCAUCAACUGUGGCUGCUAAAUAUAUCCCAAUUUUUCUGCUUUUUGUUCCUGAUUAAUGCACCAAGUUUGCUGGUCAUUCAUGUGGCUGACUGCUAUGGCGGAGCUAAUGUUUUUAGUUUGAGCUGUUCGUAAUUCUAUUUUUGUAGCUUAUCACACUUCAUGAUGACAAAGAAUGGGGUUUGGGUGCUGGCAUAAAGAAUUUGCUAGGUGAUGUUUUAUUUGAACAUCUUAAAUUUACUGGAGGUUUAGGUGUUGAGUUUAUCAUUUCUAGAUGUCAGUUGGCCCAAAUUGCUACCAAGUAAGCCAUAGGCUUGACCUAUUUCUAAUAGGCAUUUUAGUGGAUCUAACUGACGUUGAGCUUUACACUCAUAUGUAUCAUUAUUAUCAUACUGAAGCUUCUUAAGAUAUCUAUUCUAUAACUUCACUAUUAGUACUUCUCUUGUAUAUUGUGCCUGCAUUUGUCAGUAGAUUCUUGGCAAAUUGGAGCGGUUGAAUUUAUGGCUUCAUAUGAUUUUAUGUUGCCAAGGAUUUGCUCUGUUGACUAGCUUAUUUAGGAUAUUUGCUAAUUGUGCUUUAUUCAGUAAUGUUGAUACAUUUAAGUCAUAAAAAUUGCUUCAGUUAUAUUGUUUUGCCAUAUGUUCAUGAUUAAAUUCUUUAUUAAUUUGAAAUCCACCAUAAAUAAUUUCACCUUUUG